rnacentral:lncRNA from 1 species
GCACUGUGAGAACAGACUAAUACACCGGUGUUCUAGUAAGAGGAGAGUACACAGAGAAACUCACGUAGAGGAAGGCCAUGUGAAAAUGGUAGCAGAGACUGGAAUCAUGCUACCACAAACCAAGGAAUGCCCGGGAACACCAAAAGCUGGAAGAGGCAAGGAACACCAAGGAUUUCAAGCAACCACCAGACGCUAGGAGAAAUUGGAUGAUAAAAUUCAGGCCAAGAGAAGCAAAGACAGCAAAGACUGACAUAAAAAAGAAACAACAAAAACAACUCUUGUUAAUGAUGUAGAAUUAAUCUGAAUUCUCCAAAAACCUGCCUCUUUUGGAGAUAGUGGUCUUGCAUUCCCUGAUGCUGAGAGACUGAGUCUAUAUAUUGAAGACUUCAUUUCACCAGCAGGUGCAAAUGUUCUACAUUUCAAAGCCAUCUGUGUUUUUUAAGUGAUUGAGGCCAAGAGUAAUCCAUAUUUAGUUGUUUUGACCAUUUAAACUAAGGUUUAUGUUAUUCUUUGACUUUAUCAAUGUACUAAUGUACAUAUUUUAUAUGCUGUACCAUGUAUAUCUGUGAAUAAAAAAAAAUACAUGUCACUGUCGUUCAAUUGUUUUUCUUUCAUUACUGCCCCCACCCAAAGGAAAUUUUUAGAUUUUUUUGAUUACUAUCACUGCUAGGUGACUUUUUAGGAUUUGGUUUUAUUAAAUACUAACACAUUUCAUUAAAUUUUAGUACCACAGAGAUGCUGUAUAUCUAUUUAUGUACUGUGGUCAUUUUGGAACAACAAAUUAUUAUCUAUCAUUUUUCCACUCCCCCAAAAGAAUCAAUGUUUACCCCCUUGUGGAUAAAUUAGAGGUUAAAAUAUCAU